rnacentral:rRNA from 1 species
CCUACGGGCGGCAGCAUUGUGUAAUAUUGGACAAUGGGGGGAACCCUGAUCCAGCCAUGCCGCGUGUGUGAAGAAGGCCCUCGGGUUGUAAAGCACUUUCAGUGAGGAAGAACGCCUGGUGGUUAAUACCCAUCAGGAAAGACAUCACUCACAGAAGAAGCACCGGCUAACUCCGUGCCAGCAGCCGCGGUAAUACGGAGGGUGCGAGCGUUAAUCGGAAUUACUGGGCGUAAAGCGCGCGUAGGUGGCUUGAUAAGCCGGUUGUGAAAGCCCCGGGCUCAACCUGGGAACGGCAUCCGGAACUGUCAAGCUAGAGUGCAGGAGAGGAAGGUAGAAUUCCCGGUGUAGCGGUGAAAUGCGUAGAGAUCGGGAGGAAUACCAGUGGCGAAGGCGGCCUUCUGGACUGACACUGACACUGAGGUGCGAAAGCGUGGGUAGCAAACAGGAUUAGAUACCCGUGUAGUC